rnacentral:rRNA from 1 species
UACAGAGGUCCCAAGCGUUGUUCGGAUUCACUGGGCGUAAAGGGUGCGUAGGUGGUGAGGUAAGUCGGAUGUGAAAGCUCGGAGCUCAACUCCGAAAUGGCAUUGGAAACUACCUUGCUCGAGGGUUGGAGGGGGGACUGGAAUGCUUGGUGUAGCAGUGAAAUGCGUAGAUAUCAAGCGGAACACCAGUGGCGAAGGCGAGUCCCUGGACACUUCCUGACACUGAGGCACGAAAGCUAGGGGAGCAAACAGG